ACACACUUGUAGUGGUGGGAGUGGCUGGGGUAUUUUAGGAGCUGCUACUUGAUAGAAAAAGCAGACAUUGUGUUGGAGAGGAAGAUAACGGUAGAUAACGGCCUCUGGUAUUGAGAAACAAACUGAAUUGUUCACUCACUGUUGUACGCAAUUUUAUUUUGUGUGUGUGUGUUUUAAGCAACGCUCCCCACACAACCUGACCUGAGCUUGAGAGGAUCUGCAGAGAAGAAGGCGAGAAACUCCCCAAAUACAGACGCCCUUCGGCUCCCCCUCCAAAGGAAGUAGGGAUACAUGGACAUACCCAGAGUUGCAGAACAAACACCCUGAGAUUUGACGUGUCCCCUCAUGAGGAAAAGGGGGGAUCUGGCGCCGAAGGGGUGGAUUACGUUUCUGGGAUAUGACUUCACAUAGAAACAUACGUGUGUAUGUGUCUUCUUAUUUGAUAUUUUUGUGUGAAUGUGCGUAUUUGUAAUAGAGCAUGUGCAAAUGUGUCAGUGUGUGGGCGUGUCUGUCUCAUCGGGGGCCAGGGGUCUCCAGCGUCCUGCCAUCACCUCCUGGGCGUGUGGUGAUAAGGUGGCCUCCAGUAUCUGGCGUCAUUACCCAGGGAUAAAGGCCACUCUCACUGUCACUGAGGAGUGUAUGCUCUGACACACACACACACACACACAUACACACGCACAUGCACACACACGCACGCACGCACACACACACACACACGCACCAGCCUCCAAGGCUUUACGUAACCCUAGAUGACGACCGUUCAUGGAGUGCCAACCAUUGGAUUGAUGGUGCCCAUAAUGAAGAUCUCUGACCCUCUACAAUGCUGAGGGCUGAUAAGUGAACUACAAAUCUUGGUCACAUUCCAGUUUUUACCAAUCCUGAACACAACACUACAAGUAUUGAGCCCUUAUUUGAAACAGAGGCUAUGGCUGACGUAGCUGAAGCUUGCAUUACAGCUUGAUUUUGUACAUUUCAUUUGCUUUCACAUGAAACACUUUUGAGGUAUGUUUGUCUGUAUUUCAAUCAUCACAUAAUUGACAUCUUUUUACAUAUUGUUGAAAUAGUAGACAUUCAUAGGCGGUAUGUUAGAAUUAAUACAAAUUCUUCUUAUUUUUAUUCUAAACUAAAGGAAAAACAAUACUAAACUAAACACAA